rnacentral:rRNA from 1 species
UACGUAGGGUGCAAGCGUUGUUCGGAAUCAUUGGGCGUAAAGCGCGUGUAGGCGGUUUUUUAAGUCGAGUGUGAAAUCCCUGAGCUCAACUCAGGAAGUGCAUUCGAAACUAACUGACUAGAAGAUGGCAGAGGAAGGUGGAAUUCCAAGUGUAGAGGUGAAAUUCGUAGAUAUUUGGAGGAAUACCGGUGGCGAAGGCGGCCUUCUGGACCAUUCUUGACGCUGAGACGCGAAAGCGUGGGGAGCAAACAGG